UAUCGUCUGCAACAACAACGAAAAAGGGCGAGAAGGUCAGACUCCAUCGUUUAGAAAAGCCUGUUGGCCAUUGGUUGGAAGAGGUGUAACUUUCCGCGUGAUGAACGGUCAGGACUCCGCUCCGCUCUUGAAGAAGGCAGCGCUUCGCAGUGAUGAUUCUGCGCGAUCGCCUUCGGAGGCUGGUUCGCUGACUUCAUCGCGGCGUCUGUCGUCACGUCUUGGGACACAGACACCCUCUUCUAUCACUGCCGCCGCGCUCGCGCUCACAAGUAACCAGCGUCUCUUCAGCGAGGCCACUCUGCGCAGCAUUGCCUUACUCUUGCGCCACACGGCAGCGCAGAUCGAGGCGGCCGCGUUGCAGGAUGCAAUGGAAGAUCCCGUGGCGAGUGAGUACAUCAUGACGAGUGGGGGCCGUGCAGAGGAGCACAACGUCAGCACGGCCAGCGUGAGCGUUCCGGUUGCGUCUUUCGUUGCUGGCGAUGCAGAUCGAUCUGCACUAAGCUCGAGGUCGUCGUCGGGGAGCGGUGCUGAUUGGGUGUCGGGAAUGUCGGCACCCUCAUCAGCGCAUGGCGCGGCAACGCGCAGCACCGUUUCACCGUCGUCGCACUCCCAAAGAGGCUCUAAGAUUAUGGCACAGGUGCCCUCCACGCUGGCAUUGCCGUCGUCGGCACCAGCGGACGGAUCUCGGCACAGUCGCUGCUCACCACCCCCGUUGGAACUGCGCCGUCGGCCUCGCGCGAGCUUUAGCGGGACUUUCGUCGACCAAGCAAUUCGCGCCGCGGGCGCCGCUGCCAGCAGCCCGUCAUACUCGUAUAGCUUCCCAGAGAAAUGGUUCGGCCCCCCAGCCGACGCGCUUGCGCUAAAUGCUGCGCAGCGCUCGGCGGCGGACACCCUCCUCAACUCCAGUACGAAGCGAGCAUCGAUGACGGCUUCGAAGGGGUUUCGUCCCCGCUGGCAGCCGCGGAAGUCCUCCUCGAAGUUCACUUUUGCCAGGGACGCUUCUUUAGUUGCCGCCUCGCGGUCGCAGUCGCUGAACACCGCCGUGUUCUUGCCGGACCCGUCGCCCGCGAGAAGCCCGGCCACGGUGACGCACCGCAACUCCUCCAGCCAUGCCGACUGGAACAAGGUUUUAGCAGUUGCCACCUCGCAGCCACCAUUGUUUUUCGACAAUCUGCUGUUCGACCCGGCGACGAACCGCUACCUUUUCGGAGGUCACGCGUUCCGUGAGGAGGUUCGAGUUUUACAGGCACCUGCGGCCGAUGCAUCUGUGCUGGCGGCGUCUCGCGCAGAUGACGCGGGGAGCGGAGACAGCGUCACCAAGCACCCGCGCGGCUCGCCGUCACCGUGGUUACUGCUUGUGAGAGAGUACAUCCCCGUAUCAGCCGAGUGCAGCAUCGUCGGCGAUGAGCAACAACCCCUCAGCGCGAGUGGUGGCAGCGUCGACGCAGUUGUGGUCCAGUGCUUCUCCCUCCUGCCACCGCAGCUAGCACAUCUACGGCCCAAUCCAUACCAGCUUCUCCCCGAGAGCACCAUCACAAUGUGCCUACUCGUUGCGCUACCGGGCUGCGUGACACUUGCGACACCGCUGGACGUCUUUUUGCAUGAUAUGCGGCACAGCCUCCUCAUGGUGGCGGGAUCUUCGCUGGGGCACCUCUUGGGCAGCUUACAGGAGACGACGAAGGAGGUCCGAAGAGGUCCCGGGAGUGGAACACAGUUGUCCGUGGCGACUGUGAGCCCCUCCGCAUCUACUGCCCGCGUAAGCUUCCUGCGCCCUAGCACCUCGCUGAAAGCAACCUCCGGUAAGGGGGUCUCCGUCGCCUCAUCCUCUAGCGCUGCGACGCCGGUCUCGCUGGGCACAGCGGAGCGGGAUCGAGAUGCCACACGGAUUGCCAUAGUGGAGGAGCGGCUUGCCCAAAUAGUGAUGCCGGACAUACUCGACGAGGCGAUGCACGCGAUCUACGGAACCCUUGUGGUGUACUGCAUUCAAUAUGAACAGCGGCGUCGCAUGCUCGUCGCCGUGGGUGCCGUCCACGUGCUGCAACGCUUCUUUCGUCGCUGCCUCGCCGUGAUGGAGCGGGCGGUACGGCGGAUGGUGCGCUUGUGGCGCCAGCUGGAGGUAGAUGCGCGACUGAAGCUGCAGCAAUACCGACCGCUGCCAACGGCGCUGGAGAGGCUUGACGCGGUGGCGAACAGCAUUCUGCAGGACCACAUGCUCACCUCGGUGAGCUACAAGCGUUCGUUCAUCGCCGCCCAGUGGGCCGUGCGGCGUCGCUCCUUUGCUCAGUGGAGACAGACUGAGGAGUGGGACAGCGUGUUUGCGUCUCACGUGCGGCGCAAGGAGGGCAACUCAAACGGCACCGCCGCCGAUAGCGCUUCGGAGAAGAGGCCACGCAGCGCCCGACUGAGCGCCGGAGAGGAGCUGCGCUUGGAGUCCGAGUUUAACAAGCGCCGAGGCUGGUCGAGCAAGGUGAUGACGAAGUGCGCGGAGCCUUCUUCGCCCUCAACUACUGCCGAGUCGUAUGCUGAGCGCGAGCAAGCCGCAAUUCGUCGCUUUCUCAGCUGGUACAUAGACCCACAGGAGCUCCUCUACCUCAGCCAUCAACGUUUGCUGGAAACGCUGAAAGGCUCCGUCUUUCAGAUGGCGGAUGUGCAGCUGGAGCUGAGACGCGCUGCUAACAGGCUGACGAAGGAGGAUUGCACGACACCGCUCGCUGCUUCCAUGUCGUGCAACAGCGUUCAUCAGCGCAGGUGAUCGCCACCUCUAUGCCAUCUCUCUGGGUCAGACGAGCGGCUGCCUCCUCUGCCUUUUGUUUCUUGUUAUUCAGCAACUCCUCCUCCCUCCCCGACGACGGGGUGAGGGCGCACCUCAGUGCGUGGCAUCUCCGGGCCCAGCGCGCACCCCCUCCCCUCCCCUCGCACUCUCUCUGUGGACCCCCACGAUGUAAAGUACUGCCAUGCUUGUGCUGGAUCGUCUUUCCUUCUCGUUGUGCUUUUCUUUUGUGCGCGCAUGCUCUGUGCAUGUGUGCUCUCCCUCUUUUCGGUGUGUUUUGUGUCCUGCUCAAGUGCGCUCGCCGCACUCAUACGCGAAGGAACAUUCCGGAUGAUGGCGUAUGCCCACCACGACCACCACCACCACCACCCCCUCACUUCCACACACACGCGAAGCUGCAGCGUCGGCGAGCUACGAGUGGCUCCAACAUCAUCGUGAGUGUUUGGAGUCGCCAUGUCAGCUCCUGCACGCAUAAAAAGCGCACCAAAUGACUUUCCCGAGCCCCUGCUCACCCUUCACCUUGCCAGCGUCAGCGCGGCGCAUUCGGGGAUGUCGUGGACGCGUGGAAAGGGACACCAGCGCGGGCAGUUGCCACCAACGCGAGGAAGAUGUUCCGCUCUCCCGGUCACCUGCCGUCUCUCCAUCUGUACUUCUCUAUCUGCCCCACGAGCCACCACCCCAUGCACCUGCACACAUAAAACAAAG
rnacentral:misc_RNA from 1 species